rnacentral:rRNA from 1 species
UGGUAACUGAGACACGGAUCUAGACUCUUACGGAGGCAGCAGUAAUGAUAUCGGUUCCAUGAGCCACUCUGAACCCAGGCCAUGCCGCGUGCAGAAGACGGUCCUCUGGGUUGUAAACUGCUUUAUUCGGGAAUAAACCUGCUUACGUGUAAGUAGCUGAAUGUACCGAAGGAAUAAGGAUCGGCUAACUCCGUGCCAGCAGCCGCGGUAAUACGGAGGAUCCAAGCGUUAUCCGGAUUUAUUGGGUUUAAAGGGUGCGUAGGCGGCCUAUUAAGUCAGGGGUGAAAGACGGUAGCUCAACUAUCGCAGUGCCCUUGAUACUGAUGGGCUUGAAUACACUAGAGGUAGGCGGAAUGUGACAAGUAGCGGUGAAAUGCAUAGAUAUGUCACAGAACACCGAUUGCGAAGGCAGCUUACUAUGGUGUCAUUGACGCUGAGGCACGAAAGCGUGGGGAUCAAACAGGAUUAGAUACCCUGGUAGUCCACGCCCUAAACGAUGAAUACUCGCUGUUGGCGAUACACAGUCAGCGGCUAAGCGAAAGCGUUAAGUAUUCCACCUGGGGAGUACGCCCGCAAGGGUGAAACUCAAAGGAAUUGACGGGGGCCCGCACAAGCGGAGGAGCAUGUGGUUUAAUUCGAUGAUACGCGAGGAACCUUACCCGGGCUUGAAAGUUAGUGAAUAAUCCAGAGAUGGAUUAGUGAGCAAUCACACGAAACUAGGUGCUGCAUGGCUGUCGUCAGCUCGUGCCGUGAGGUGUUGGGUUAAGUCCCGCAACGAGCGCAACCCCUAUGUUUAGUUGCCAGCACGUAAUGGUGGGGACUCUAAACAGACUGCCUGUGCAAACAGAGAGGAAGGAGGGGACGACGUCAAGUCAUCAUGGCCCUUACGUCCGGGGCUACACACGUGCUACAAUGGAUGGUACAGAGGGCAGCAAGCUGGCAACAGCAAGCAAAUCUCAAAAAGCCAUUCACAGUUCGGAUUGGGGUCUGCAACUCGACCCCAUGAAGUUGGAUUCGCUAGUAAUCGCGUAUCAGCAAUGACGCGGUGAAUACGUUCCCGGGCCUUGUACACACCGCCCGUCAAGCCAUGGAAGUUGGGGGUACCUGAAAGUACGUAACCGCAACGGAGC